rnacentral:sRNA from 1 species
GUUUAAAUAAAUAUGAGGCAAAGUUUGAGAUAAAAUUUAGGUAAAUGAUUUGUAUAAAAUAUUCUUAAUAUAUAAAAAAAGGAAUUAACUUAUUCGUAUAGAUAACUUUUGAAAAUACAAUUCUUAAUUUGAUAUUUGAUUGAAUAUUAAAAGUAAACGAAAUAAGGGGAGAUAACAGAUUACACGACUGUUCAUUUAUGGCGCGUAUACUAUUGUCGGGUUUUGUAUUAUUGUUCGAUUGAUAUCGCGAAAUAUUUGAUGUAUAACUAUGAUGGAAAAGUUAUGUAAUCUUUAUUGUAACUAUUGUAAAUAUAAGACUAGACUGUGAACCAGAAUAAAAUGUAGUUAGCAGACUGGAUUGUCUUUUAAAGGUCCCGUUGUCAUGCCGAGUCCAAGCUAGUUCCCAAACAAUGUAACAUCUAUGUGAGCAGUUCCCCGUAAAAAGAAUCGAUAAAACCAUGAAAGAAAGACUACAACACGAAUCACAAAGACGGGACCAAGUUCCCGCAUAAUAUAUUUUGGUGGAGGCGAGUGGUAAAAUCAUCGGUACCUACAACAAUGAACAACAUGUAAAGAUGGACUUCGGCACAGUUCGACAAAUUACAACUUGCAGUCAACUGAUGGACAACUAAAGAAAAGAACAGGACAACAUAAUAAUAUCAAGAGAACAACAUGGCUGAACCACAUGGUAAUGUACAUUUUAAUUAUUUUAACAUUAUAACACCUCCUAUGUACAAUGGUUCGGGUAACCCGUCAAAUUGGUUAUUAUACUUUAGAAAAUGGAUAAAAAUUAAUUCAAUAGCAAAUGAAAAUGCUUGUCAUUACUUGCCGUUUUAUUUGAAAGAAUCAGCUAAAGUUUGGUUUGAUGGUUUACAUGAAAAUAUUCAAAAUAGUACAGAAAAUUUAGAAAUUGGUUUAAUUGAACGUUUUUCAAGAGAUGAAGACGAUAUUGAAUUAGAUGUAAAACAAAAGGAAAACGAAUCUGUUUUAGAAUUUUUCGACAGACUAAGAAUAAUUGCAAAGGAUUUAGAAAUACCUGAAAAUUUAGAAUUCAUCAUGGGUAAAAAGGGAUUACUACCUAAAUUAAAUACUAGCAUAACUUUGAGUAACCCGAAAAAUCUGAAUGAAUUAAAGCAAGCGGCAAUAAUAGCUGAAAAAUGUGCUAACGUACGUAAAACAAUAAAAGAUUCUGAUUGCUCAAAUCUAAAUGUAAUAAAGCAAAAUAAAGAUCUAGAUGAAAUAACUGAAAAAAUUAAUACAUUAAAUUUGAAAAUAAAAGAACAGAUGCCACAGGUGAAUGCAUAUAGAAAUAACAGAGUCAAUAGGACGACAAAGCAAAAUUAUGUGUGUAAAUAUUGUGGUAUGUCAUAUUACCAUAAAAACCAUAAAUGUAAAGCAAGAAAUAAAGAAUGCUUUAAUUGUAAAAAAGUAGGACAUUUAGCAAGAGUUUGUUUCACUAAAUCUUAUAGAAAUGUGGUAAAAACUAAAAGUUUUAAAAGUAGACAGAAACCACACAAGAAGAAGAGAGAAAAUAUUUAUAUAAAUUUAAUGACUAAUAUUGAAGGAAAUACUGUAAAUGUUGAUAUAUUAGGAAUUAAAACAAAAGGAUUGAUUGACACAGGAGCUGCUGUAUCCUGUAUUUCAAGUUAUUUAUUCAAUAAACUAGAUAAAACUAAAAUAAAAGUAAACUUGUCAAGUAUAAACAAUGUUUAUGGUGUAGGCGGCGAAGGAAUUUCUGUGAAAGGACAAGUAAAACUUCCACUUAAAUUUGAUAAAGAGCCAGUUGUUUACCAGAAUUUUUACAUAAUUGAUAAAAUUCAACACUCUUUAAUAAUUGGAAAUGACUUUUUGGAAUAUAAUAAAGCUAACAUUAAUUAUCCUACUAAAACUUUAAACUUGUAUGAUGGAAUUGCACAGAUCGCACUCAUAAGUACUAGACAAAAUGAAGCUAAAACUCUAAAACACAUUGAGCUUCCAGCUAGGAAAAUAAGCAUUAUUCCUGUUAAAAUUCCUAAACAAUUUGUAGGGAAGCAAAUAAUACUUGAACCUAGUCAGUCUUUGCAAAAUAAAAGCAUUGUAGGUGCUGCUUGUCUAGUGUCGUCUUCAACCCAACAAGCAGUAAUGCAAGUCAUAAAUCCAAAUGAAGAUAAAGUGGUGCUAAACAGAAAUGAAAUUGUUGCUUUAAUAUCAGAAAUAAAACCUAACUCUAUUCAAAAUUGGUCUGAUAAAACUGAAAAAGUUCAUAUAAAUAACAUUGAAAAGGGUCAUAAAAAGCAAAAACAAAAAUUAAACAUUGAUCUUUCUGAAGCAGAUUUGACAAAUGAGCAAAAAGAUAAAUUAAGAAAAUUUGUUGAUAAAAAUAGGAAUGUAUUUGCAACAGAUUUGUCUGAAAUUGGCAUGACAGAUGUACACUUUCAUGAAAUUGACACAGGGAACAACCCUCCUGUAAGUUUACCCCCACAUAGAGCUGCACCCAAUAUUAGAACAGAGAUUGAAAGACAAGUUGAAGAGAUGUUGAAGUACAAAAUUAUUGAGCCUUCUAAUUCUAUUUGGCAUAGCCCCGUUUGUCUCACUCGUAAGAAAGACAACAGUUGGCGAUUUUGCGUUGAUUAUAGAAGGGUCAAUGCUUUUACUUCCCCGAUGCAUGCUACGCUUGGAAACAUGCAUGAUGUCUUUGAUACUAUGGGAGAAAUGCAACCACAGAUAUUUAGUUCUAUUGAUUUAUCUUCAUCUUUUUGGCAGGUGCCUUUGCACCCAAAUUCUAAACAAAAAGCAGCGUUUGUAACUCAUUCUGGAAUCUAUGAAUGGAAUAGAAUGCCGUAUGGUCUACGUAAUAGCAGUAUAGCUUUUUCUCAGGUCAUGUCACAAAUAUUAAGAGGAUUGCACUGGAAGUAUGUACUUGCAUAUAUUGAUGAUAUUUUGAUUUUCAGUAAAACAUUUGAAGAGCAUCUGCAACAUCUUGAAGAAGUUUUUGCUAGAUUACGAAAAGCAAAUUUUACUCUUAAGCCACAAAAAUGUCACUUUGCUGUUAAGAAAGUCAAUUAUCUAGGUCAUAUUAUUUCAAAAGACGGUGUCAAGGUAGAUGAUUCCAAAAUUACUAUAGUGAAAAACUAUCCGAGGCCUAAAAAUCAGACCGAGGUCAGACAGUUCUUAGGUCUGUGUAAUUACUAUAGACGCUUUGUAAAGGACUAUGCUAAAAUCACAGUUCCCUUGAAUAAUCUUUUACAAAAAGACAAAGAAUAUGUUUGGACUGAUAAAUGUCAAAUUUCGUUUGAAAGUCUUCAAACAGGCUUUGACAACUGCUCCUGUUUUGUCGUACCCAGAUAUGUCAAAACCAUUUAUUUUGACUUGUGACGCAUCAGGCUCAGCCAUUGGCUAUAUUCUAGGUCAGUUAGAUGAAAAUGGUAAAGAAAGAGUAAUAUCAUACAGUGGUCGUGCUUUGAGAAAUAAUGAAUUAAACUGGACUAUUACUGAAAAAGAAUGCUUAGCAGUUCUUGAAGGUAUCACUAAAAACAAAGUUUAUUUGUCUCAUGCUAGAUUCAAAGUGUAUACUGAUCAUCAAGCUUUAGUUUGGUUACACAAAUCAAAAGAUACUAACUCACGUCUAGGUAGAUGGGCUCUUGAAUUGCAAAAUUAUGAUUUUGAAAUUAUUUACAAAGAAGGUAAAAAGAAUACAAAUGCGGAUGCUUUGUCAAGAAUUCCUUAUAAAGAAAUUGAAGAUGAAAUACACCCAAAAUUGUCUGUAAACAGCUUAUUGGAAAAUAAGAUCAAAACUGAAAUUAAGUUUGAGUAUGCAAAUGAAAAGCCAAUAAUUGCAGCUAUUGAAAAUAAUGAGGUUGAUCUGAAUGAUGUAUCAGAUAUUUCAAAAUUGCAAAGAGAAUGUGAUCAGUUGAUCCCAUUGAUAAAAUACCUUGAAACGGGCGAGUUGCCCGAAAAUCAAAAAGAGGCUCGCAACAUAUGUUAUGAACGAGACCACUAUAGAUUAAGUCAAUCAGGUGAGUUAAUUCAUUUACAUAGGUCAAGAACAAAAGGGAUACCUAAAGCUGAAAGCAUGAUUGAACAAUUGGUUUUACCGAAAUGUCUAAGACAAGAUGCUUUGUUAGCAUAUCAUGAUCACAAUGGUCAUACAGGCAUCAAACGCACAUACGCUGGUAUACAUCUUAAAUAUUAUUGGUCAGGUAUGUAUCAAGAGGUUUAUAAUUAUGUGACGUCAUGUGAUAAAUGUCAAAGGUCAAAACAACCAACACACCAUCGUCCGGCACCAUUGCUUCCCCUUCCUAUUGAAGACACUUUGUCUAGAUGGCACAUGGACAUUCUUACAUGUCUACCCAAAACAAAAGACGGAUAUCAACACUUAUUGUUAGUAGUCGAUAGUUUUUCUCGAUGGCCCGAAUGUUUCCCUCUUAAGACUCAAGAAGCUACCGAAAUAGCUGAAGUAUUAUACAAUGAGGUGUUUUCUAGAUUUGGUGCGCCAAGAGCAAUUGUAUCUGACAGAGGAGCUAAUUUUUGUAGUAAACUUAUUCAGGCUCUAUGUGAACUAUUUGAAGUUCAAAGGUAUCAUACUAGUUCGUACCAUCCGCAAACCAAUUCAACAUGUGAACGAAUGAAUCGAACGAUCGCACAAACUUUACGUACAUUAGUGGCUAAAGAUCAGUCAAAUUGGCAUAAGUUAAUCCCUAGCGUUAUGAUGGCUUUACGUAUGUCCACAAAUACUGAAUCAACUGGUUAUUCUCCAUUUCAAAUGUUGUUUGGUAAAGAAAUGAACUUGCCAUUUGAUAUUUCUGUUCAACCUAAAGAUGGUAUGAGUAAAACUGCUAAGAAUCAUCUCGAAACCCUUAUUGAUAGACUAAAAAUUGUAAAAGAUAUUGCAAAAACUUCAGUAGAAAAUUCACAAGAGAAAACUAAAAAUAGGUAUGAUAAGAAAGCUGAAGCACCAAAAUUUAGAGUUGGAGAUUAUGUCAUGUUGCAAUCUAUGAAAGUACCAAAAGGUUUAUCACCCAAAUUACACCCAAAGUGGGAUGGUCCAUUUUAUGUAAUUAAUGUUGGACAAAAUAAUACAUGUAAGUUAAGACGAUGUUCAGAUCACAAAUUGAUUAAGUCUCGUAUACACACAAAUAGAAUGAAACCAUAUAUUGACCCAAGAGAUUAUAGGAAUCUUCCUGAAAUCCAAAGAAAUAUUGUUGAAAAUGACAGAGAUAGAGUAGAUGAUAUAGAUGAUGUUCAAAAUGACAAUAUAGAUAGAACACAAAAUGAUAAUGCACAAAUGCAACAAAAUGAUGCAUUGUUGCAACAAAAUGAUGAGACUAAUGAUGAAGAUAAUGACUUCAUAGCAGAAAAAUUACUUGCCAAAAAGCGUAGGCAAGGCAAAAACUAUUAUAAGGUCAAAUGGGUAGGUUAUAAAAAGACUACCUGGGAACCUGAAGAAAACAUAGGUGAAGGUCUAUUGGUUGAGUUUUACACUAAGUUUACAAAAUCAGGCACGAAGAGAAAAAGGCCAACUAGUUUACUUGUAAAACAGACAAAUCCAUAA